AUCUACAACCUUUAAAAUUAGGGAAAUAGGCAAGGAAGAAACACCAUAAAAUGUAGGCCGAAAAUUUCAGACCAGCCAGUGGCGCAGACAAUAAUGAAAGCUGAAAUAAAUGGUAUUCAUUAAAAUCCAAUAAACUUGCGGAACUAUAACAAUUUUCCACUUACCAAGGUACAAGUCCAAUUGGUAAUGCUUAAACCAUCCCACAAGAAGAAAAACGAGUAACCUGCUCAAGCUAUCCCUUCAAGCAAGAUA
rnacentral:misc_RNA from 1 species